AACGAACGCUGGCGGCAUGCCUAACACAUGCAAGUCGAACGAGACCUUCGGGACUAGUUGCGCACGGGUGCGUAACGCGUGGGAAGCUUCCCUUAGGCUUGGAAUAACACCUCGUAAGGGGGGCUAAUACCGGGAAACUUCCUCUGAUCCAAGAUUCAACGUGCUUGGAUGGGCCGGCGUUGUUUUAGCCAGGUGGUAGUGUAAAAGCCUACCAAGGCGACGAUCGAUAGCGGGUAUGAGAGGAUGAGCAGCCACACUGAGACUGGGCCGCGGCCCGGACUACUACGGGAGGGAGCAGUGGCUAAUAUAGGAAAAUCGGCGGAAGGCUGAACCAGCUAUGGCGGGUAAGUCAUGAAGGCCUUAGGGUUAUAAAGCUCUUUUACCCGGCGUGAUACUGACAGUACCGAAAGAAUAAGCACCGGCUAACUCCGUG
rnacentral:rRNA from 1 species